AUUGAACGCUGGCGGCAGGCCUAACACAUGCACGUCGAACGAGUGGCUGACGGGUGAGUAAUGUCUGGGAAACUGCCCGAUGGAGGGGGAUAACUACUGGAAACGGUAGCUAAUACCGCAUACCCUCGUAUGUGCCCAGAUGGGAUGCGCUAGUAGGUGGGGUAACGGCUCACCUAGGCGACGAUCCCUAGCUGGUCUGAGAGGAUGACCAGCCACCCUGGAACUGAGACACGGUCGAGACUCUUACGGAAGGCAGCAGUGGGGAAUAUUGCACAAUGGGCGCAAGUCUGAUGCAGCCAUGCGGCUUGUAUGAAGAAGGCCUUCGGGUUGUAAAGUACUUUCAGCGAGGAGGCGUUACUCGCAGAAGAAGCACCGGCUAACUCCGUGCCAGCAGCCGCGGUAAUAC
rnacentral:rRNA from 1 species